AAAUAUAUGGAAUCAAGAUUAUAAAAUCGUAAAAUAUAUGGAAUCAAGACUAUUAAAUAUACGAUAACACUUUUAAAGUUAUAACAAGACUACGAGAACGAGAACAAAUUUGCUCUACGAGUUGCCUAUAUAUACACACAUAGUAGCCCUCUUCUCCAAAUAUCAAAUCCUCGAGAUAACUUUGGUUGACCACGAUAUUGAUGCAUCAUUCUACGAGAAAGGAUCAAGCUAAGCUUGGAAGUUGAAUAAAUGAGAAGUUUAAAAGCAUUCAGAUUCUGAUGAAGGAACUGGUGAUGGAGAAAAUAAACAAGAAAUGUCAAGCAGCUCGAGCCCUUGCAGUUAGCAAAGGGAGAGGAUAAUCAUCAAGUUAGGAAAGAACAUGUCGAUAUUAAUCAUCAAAUUAAGAAUGUUCAUGAUCUUGAGGAUGAGGUAGAAGCCAAAUCUAAAGAUAGCCUUAUCAAGUAGAGGAAGAAAACUAUUCAAGUUGUCCAUUGGAGGAAGAGAAACUUUUUCUCGAGAAAUACAUACAUACAAGGAUCAAUUUUACUUGCAUAGUACUAAAAAAACUACUAGAAGCCAAAA